CCUACGGGAGGCAGCAGUGGGGAAUAUUGCACAAUGGGGGAAACCCUGAUGCAGCAACGCCGCGUGAGUGAUGAAGGCCUUCGGAUUGUAAAGCUCUGUCUUCAGGGACGAUAAUGACGGUACCUGAGGAGGAAGCCACGGCUAACUACGUGCCAGCAGCCGCGGUAAUACGUAGGUGGCGAGCGUUGUCCGGAUUUACUGGGCGUAAAGGGUGCGUAGGCGGACUUUUAAGUGAGAUGUGAAAUACCCGGGCUCAACUUGAGUGCUGCAUUUCAAACUGGAAGUCUAGAGUGCAGGAGAGGAGAAUGGAAUUCCUAGUGUAGCGGUGAAAUGCGUAGAGAUUAGGAGGAACACCAGUGGCGAAGGCGAUUCUCUGGACUGUAACUGACGUUGAGGCUCGAAAGCGUGGGGAGCAAACAGGAUUAGAUACCCGAGUAGUC
rnacentral:rRNA from 1 species